UAACAUUUUUGUGGCUCCCACUUAGUUCAAACGAAAUCCUGUGAACUGAUUUUGACCCGAAAUUUCCGCUUGCCAAGAACUUUGCCGGGGCUUUGAUACUUCGACCGGAUCGACCUGUCCAUUUGUCCAUCUGUCCGGGGGAUUCAGAUGAAUGUGAAAAAUAAUUUGAACAAAAUCAAAACUCGAAAUGCAAUAUUCAGCAUUCAACAUUCCUGCUUCGGUUGACGGUUGAUUGAUGAUUGCUGGCACAGAACUUUGCAUAUUUCAACUAUGACUGCGGCAGCCGCAGGGCGACCAUUUUCCACUGGGGACCCGACAUGUUUUACAGCAUUUUGCGGCGUAGGACGGGAGUUUGGUAACUUUUGUGCAACUUUGUCGUUAAUGUUCGGUACCCAUUUAAGUUGCCGGCAAAGGGGAGUAUUUAUACUCGGCGUCUUUUCCAUUAACGAUGCUCUUUCCCCCAGCGAAAACCUCCACCUGCGUCAUCAACAACAACAACGUUGGCCUAAGCCAUUUGGCCAAAAAGGCAAUUAGUUCACCUUGAAUCGGAGUGUGUGAAGGCGACAUUGGAGCGGGAUUAGUUGUAUUCUAACCAGAUGGGGCGACCCAGAUUCGUUUACAUGGCCAUAUGCAUAUGCAAAUUUACACCCUAAACGUGACAAGCCAGAAACAAACUGAAACCAUCUUCUUGGCCAGCAAAAUAAUUGACAAAGCACCUGAGAUUGCCUCACGUUCGAACGGAGUGUUUGCCAGGUUUAAUAGAGCGUCUGAGGGGGCUUUCAACAAGUGUUGCAUCAAUUCUGCUCAAGGCCACGGGCGAUUGCCUUUAUUGAAAGUCUUCCUAGCUUUUUUUUUCAUUUGCCUGAUUUUUCUCCCCUGUUGCCAAAUUUUAAUAAACGUUAGAUACUUU